GUCGGGCAUGGUGGUGCAUGUCUGUAAUCCCAACCAUUGGGAGGCAGAGGCAAGAGAAUUACAAGUCUUCAAGGCCACUCUUAAGCAACUUAGCAAGAUUCCAUCUCAA
rnacentral:sRNA from 1 species